rnacentral:rRNA from 1 species
CCUACGGGAGGCUGCAGUAGGGAAUUUUGCGCAAUGGGCGAAAGCCUGACGCAGCAACGCCGCGUGAUCGAGACGCCCUUCGGGGCGUAAAGAUCUGUCAGUGGGGACGCAACUUGACGGUACCCACAGAGGAAGCACCGGCUAACUCCGUGCCCGCCGCCGCGGUAAUACGGGGGGUGCAAGCGUUGUCCGGAAGCAUUUGGCGUAAAGAGUUCGUAGGCGGCACGUAAAGUCUGGUGUUAAAGGCAGAGGCCCAACUUCUGUACGGCACUGGAUACUUGCGGGAGAGAAUGCGGGAGAGGUAAAGGGAAUGCGGGGGGUAGCGGUGAAAUGCUUAGAUAUCAGGAGGAACAUCGGUGGCGUAAGCGCUUUACUGGGCCGUAAUGGACGCUGAGGAACGAAAGCCAGGGUAGCAAAUGGGAUUAGAUACCCUAGUAGUC